UACGUAGGGUGCAAGCGUUGUCCGGAAUCAUUGGGCGUAAAGCGCGUGUAGGCGGCUUGGGAAGUCUGGUGUGAAACCUCGGGGCUCAACCCCGAGCCUGCACUGGAUACUGCCUCGCUCGAGUCCGGGAGGGGAGAGCGGAAUUCCUAGUGUAGCGGUGAAAUGCGCAGAUAUUAGGAAGAACACCGGUGGCGAAGGCGGCUCUCUGGAACGGUACUGACGCUGAGACGCGAAAGCGUGGGGAGCAAACAGG
rnacentral:rRNA from 1 species